GUGCCCACAUUGGCAGCACAUAUACUAAAAUUGGAAUGAUACAGGGAAGAUUAGCAUGGCCCAUGCGCAAGGAUGACACACAAAUUUGUGAUGUAUUCCAUAUUACA
ensembl:snRNA U6 U6 spliceosomal RNA